rnacentral:rRNA from 1 species
UGGGGAAUAUUGGGCAAUGGGCGAAAGCCUGACCCAGCAACGCCGCGUGAAGGAUGAAGUCUCUCGGGAUGUAAACUUCGUAAGAAUAGGAAGAAUAAAUGACGGUACUAUUUGUAAGGUCCGGCUAACUACGUGCCAGCAGCCGCGGUAAUACGUAGGGACCAAGCGUUGUUCGGAUUUACUGGGCGUAAAGGGCGCGUAGGCGGCGUGGUAAGUCACUUGUGAAAUCUCCGAGCUUAACUCGGAACGGUCAAGUGAUACUGCUGUGCUAGAGUACAGAAGGGGCAAUCGGAAUUCUUGGUGUAGCGGUGAAAUGCGUAGAUAUCAAGAGGAACACCUGAGGUGAAGACGGGUUGCUGGGCUGAUACUGACGCUGAGGCGCGAAAGCUAGGGUAGCAAACGGGAUUAGAUACCCCCGUAGUCCCUGAGCGGGCUGGCAAGGCGCAU